GGCUGGUCUGAAGGUAGUGAGUUAUCUCACUUGAUUGUUCACAGUCAGUUACAGAUUGAACUCCUUGUUCUGCUACUUUCCCUCCUCAGCACUGCACUUGACUAGUCAAAA
rnacentral:Y_RNA from 1 species